rnacentral:lncRNA from 1 species
GACGUUAAGGGCCGCAGAGCGCGUGCGCAGGAACGUGGAAAGUUCCAGGACACGGAACCGUUGGGACGGAGGACCUGAAGGUGGAGUGAGGUAUCACGGGGUUUGGUGAUGACGUAGUCGGUCGAGGCCGGAAGCGUGGGCCACAGGGCUUUGAGCGGAAGCUGUCGACCUUGCACGGUGAUGGCGCUCCUCGUGAUCCCUUGUAUCCCCUCAGGCUCGAGCCAGGAGCCUAGGUCCACUUUGAAAAGUAGUAAAAGGCAGAAAGGUUCUGCGGUGUGAGGGGGAGGGCGGCUUCGUGGUCGGCUGGGUCGGGGGAGCGCCGGGCGGCCGCGGCGUGGCUGUGUCCGGGGCUGCCCUGCGCAGCCGGCCGUUUCGCCGCCUGGUGCACUUGCUGAGCUUCCGGCCUGGCCCGUCGCGGGGCUCCUGGCGCCCCCCUAGACGACUGUGUGGAGAAUGGAGCCUGCGGAGCCACGCGUAGAGAGAGGCCCGGAGCCGGCGCGGUGGCGGCGGGCGCCAGUGGUCCCAGCCACUCGGGAGGCCGAGGUGGAGUGUCGCUUGAGCCCAGGAGUUCCAGACAGGCCUGAGCAACAGAGCCAGACCCCGUCUCCACAAAGAAAGAAACAAAUGGGCCAGAGACCCAGAAUGCUUUCUGUAGCCUAACCUAAUGUUCAAAACCAGGGCAGACCCAAGCCAUGGAAAGCUUGAGGGAAUAAAAUAAUAUUCUGCUGCGGCCAAGAAUAACAAUGCUAAUUCCUGGAUAAGGGGAUUUAAAAUGAUGUUUAACAACUUCUGGUCUUUUAAUAUUGACCCAAGUUUAAAAACAUGUUCAUAUAAAAAAGUUACUGGAAGAAAUUUAUAAAUGUAACUGGUGGUUAUUUUUAGAUGACAGAAUUAAAAGUGAUCUUUUUGGUAUUUUUUCCACAACGAGCACGUGUCAUUUUUAUGUUAAUUUCAUUUUAUGCGAAAUGCUCCAGCGCAGUACAGGCUAGUGGGUUCAGGGUGGCUGUGACUAAGUAAUGUAGAUGGGGUACCUUAGACAAAGUUUCCAGACUAGAGGCUGGAAGUAAGAGGUCCGGGUGCCCUUUUCCACACUGCAGACCACGGACUUUUCCGGUUUCUGAACAAGUGAGACAGGCCGGCUAAGGACAUUUAUAAUCUCCAUGGGUGAGGGCCCCACCCUCAUGACCAUCUAAUCUUGAUUACCUCCCGAAGGCCCCACCUC